GUGCUCACUUCGGCAGCACAUAGACUAAAGUCGAAGCGAUACAAAGAUUAGCGCAGCCCCUGCACAAGGAUGACAUGCUAAUUGGUGAAGCAUUCCAUAUUUUC